UACGUAGGAGACAAACGUUAUCCGGAGUUACUGGGCGUAAAGGGCGUGUAGGCGGUUAGUUAAGUCUGGCGUGAAAGCUCUCGGCUAAACCGCGAGAGGUCGUUGGAUACUGGUUGACUAGAGGACGGUAGAGGCGUGUGGAAUUCCCGGUGUAGCGGUGAAAUGCGCAGAUAUCGGGAAGAACACCCGUGGCGAAGGCGGCUCUCUGGAACGCAACUGACGCUGAGACGCGAAAGCGUGGGGAGCGAACAGG
rnacentral:rRNA from 1 species